rnacentral:rRNA from 1 species
AUUGAACGCUGGCGGCAUGCCUUACACAUGCAAGUCGAACGGCAGCGGACCUUCGGGUGCCGGCGAGUGGCGAACGGGUGAGUAAUAUAUCGGAACGUACCUUUCAGUGGGGGAUAACGUAGCGAAAGUUACGCUAAUACCGCAUAUUCUGUGAGCAGGAAAGCAGGGGAUCGCAAGACCUUGCGCUGAUUGAGCGGCCGAUAUCAGAUUAGCUAGUUGGUGAGGUAAAGGCUCACCAAGGCGACGAUCUGUAGCGGGUCUGAGAGGAUGAUCCGCCACACUGGAACUGAGACACGGUCCAGACUCCUACGGGAGGCAGCAGUGAGGAAUUUUGGACAAUGGGCGCAAGCCUGAUCCAGCCAUGCCGCGUGAGUGAAGAAGGCCUCGGUUGUAAGUA